UUGCAGUACAUCUUCUGCAAAAGAAAUGGUUUGGAUUGAAUUGAAAUCAAAGUAACAGAACAGCAUCCAAUCACACUUUUGGUAAUAAUGUUUUUAAAGACGCUUUGUUUUGUUCUCAGCAAAUAGCAAAACAGAAAACACAAGUAUCCGAUCCUUGAACUUUUUUUUUUCCCAUCAAAUAAGUUAAAACUUUCUCUUAUCAAAGAAAAAUGGUGGAUACCAUUUUUAGUUAAAUCGAAACACAGUUCCCAUAAAUUCAUGGUUUAUUUCUAUUUAAAAUGGGAAACAAAGUGUCAGUGAGCUGGAAAGGGGGAGAGACAGAGAGUAUCUGUAUGGACCAUGGAGCCAGAAGCUGAUCAAGGUGGGGAGAAGAUUUCAAACUGGACCAGGGGGCAUUCCCUCUUUCAAGAAACUGAUUUUUCUAUAUUUUAUUUUAAAAAAAAAAACUUGAAUGGUACAUUUAUUAUUACUCUCAACAAUAAAGAGAUCGUUUUGUUCACAUCUGUAAGUUAGGAAAAGCUGGUACAGUGUUAAAUUUCAUAAUUCAAUGCACUCAUGGUUUCUCUACAUGUAACAUCAAAACUAAAAAAAAAAAUAACAUAACAAUCAAGACUUUGCUUUGGAUUCUUGCUUUUCAAGCGAAAAAUUAAGGACCCUUUUUUUUGUUUGGGUGAAUUGUGGAGAUGCACAGUGGUGUAGGUGUCUGGUGGGCUCGAUCAAUGCUUUUUGGCUAUAAAAAGGUUUUCAAGUGUAACAAAACAGUAUGGCAAUCAAGGAUUGGAUAAAUAAGCGACGAUUUAGUAUUCGAGAGAGGUUUCAGAAAAUGAUGAUGUGCAUCUGGUCAGGACAGCAAUUAAGAGUUGAUGAUGACACUAUUGCUUCUUCAGAGUCCCUAGCAACUCGGGACUAUUCAGUGAGUGGUUACUCGUCUAGAGCCAGUGAGAUGGUGGAGACAAAGGUUGACAACAGCAAUAUUGAAGAAGCCGAAUCAUCUCUUCGUGAGAGUGGUUAUUUGAACUAUGAGGAAGCAAGGGCAUUGUUAGGAAGGCUUGAGUUUCAAAAGGGAAAUAUAGAAGCUGCACUUCAUGUAUUUGACGGAAUAGAUGUUGCUGCGGUGACUUCCAAGAUGAAAGCCUCUCUUUCUCGAAGAUUUGAACAAAAUUGGCGUCGCUCACAAAGUGAUGCUGCUCCAGCCAUGUCUAUGCAUGCUGUUAGCUUACUUCUUGAAGCUAUAUUUCUGAAGGCAAAAUCAUUGCAGCACCUUGGAAGGUUUGGAGAAGCUGCUCGAUCAUGCAAAGUUAUAUUGGACACUGUUGAAUCUGCAUUGCCGGAGGGCCUGCCCAACAACUUCUCUGCAGAUUGUAAAUUACAGGAAAUUGUGAACAAAGCUGUGGAAUUGCUUCCAGAGCUAUGGAAACUUGCAGGAGAUCCCCAAGAAGCUAUCUUGUCGUACCGGCGGGCUCUCCUCUAUUACUGGAAUCUUGAUACGGGAACCAAAGCAAAGCUAGAAAAGGAAUUUGCUAUAUUGCUUUUAUACAGUGGUGCUGAAGCAAGCCCUCCAAACCUCCGUUCGCAGAUGGAAGACUCCUUUGUGCCUAGAAACAACAUAGAAGAGGCUAUUCUUUUAUUACUAAUUCUGCAGAGAAAAUUUGUUCUCAAAAGGAUUAGUUGGGAUCCAUCAAUCUUGGAUCAUCUUGCUUUUGCUCUAUCUGUUUCAGGGGAACUAAGAGCCAUAGCUCAUCAGGUUGAAGAGUUGCAUCCAGAGAUCAUGAAAAGAAAUGAAAAAUAUUGUACUUUGGCUCUUUGUUAUUAUGGGGAAGCUGAGGACAUAAUUGCUUUGAAUCUUUUGCAAAAUCUUUUGAAUAGCAGAGACAAUCCAGACUGCAUUCUGGAAUUAUUGCUAGCCUCAAAAAUUUGUGGGGAGAAUAUGAGUUAUAUUGAAGAAGGGAUCAAUUGGGCACGGAAAGCACUUGCUGGAUUGAAUGGCAGAUGUAGGCAGAUGGUGAGCAAAGCAAACUGCUUACUGGGAGUUUUAUUGUCAGCUCAAUCUAGGUUGGUUUCUUCUGAUUCUGAGAGGAUUUUGAAGCAGUCUGAAACAAUUGAGGUGCUGGAAACCGCAGAAAAGAUGAUGAGAGAAAGGGAUCCUUACAUUGUAUUCCAUCUUUGUCUAGAAAAUGCUGAGCAGAGAAAGUUGGAUGUUGCAUUUUAUUAUGCAAAGCAGCUUUUGAAACUUGAAGCAGGGUCCAGUGUUGAAGGAUAUCUCCUUUUGGCUCGGAUUUUGUCAGCUCAAAAAUGGUUUGUUGAUGCAGAGACCGUAAUUAAUACUGCCCUUGACCAAACCGUGAAAUGGGAUCAAGGAGAACUGUUGAGAACCAAAGCUAAACUCCAGAUUGCACAGGGCCAGUUAAAAAAUGCGGUUGAGACAUACACUCAUCUUCUUGCUGUUCUCCAAGUUCAGUAUAAAAGCUUGAGUGCUGGAAAGAAAUAUCUAAGGAAUAAGGGAAAGUGGGACAGAAGCUUGGAAAUGGAAACAUGGCAUGAUCUAGCCAAUGUGUACACGAGCUUGUCAGAGUGGCGGGAUGCGGAGGUCUGUCUGUCAAAAUCCAAGGCUAUCAGUCCAUUUUCUGCUUCUAGAUGGUACUCUACAGGUUUACUCAACGAAGCUAAGGGGUUGCACCAGGAAGCUCUGAGAUCAUACAGGAAGGCAUUAGAUGUUGAACCCACACAUGUUCCAAGCUUGAUAUCUACGGCUUGCAUCCUCAGACAGCUUGGUGGCCAAUCAAUGCCUAUAGUGAGAAGUUUUCUGACCGAUGCACUUCGACUCGACAGAACAAACCCGGCUGCCUGGUACAAUCUGGGGUUGCUCUACAAGGCUGAUAUUAGUGCAUCACCCCUUGAGGCUGCAGAAUGCUUUGAGGCUGCUGCUCUUCUUGAAGAAUCUGCACCGGUUGAACCCUUUAGAUGAACAGCUUUAUCUGCACAAAUUUGUUACUGUUAGCCUUUUCCAUGUGUGAAUUGUUGUAUGUAAUUUGAGACAUGUCAUUUUGUACAUCUUAGUUUAGAUUAUCUAGCAUAUAUAGAUCUAAAAAAAAAAGAGGAAAAUGCUGUAUUAUUAUGAUUUCCCCUGCUUCAAAUUAUAUUGGAGUUCUAUGCUGUGAGGAAAUGGUGGGGUCAUAGGACCUGUUGGGUUGAAUAUCGUUGCCUUUGCUGCGAAAAGACAUGCUGUUCCAUUUGUUGUGGUUGCUGGUUAUCACAAGGUUUGAAUCAAAUAAUUUGCUCGACACAGUUAUGUACACUAUAUACAAACAAUCCACAGGUCUUGCUGAAUGAAAUGAAAUCACCAUCUGAACUGUUGGAUUUUGGGUAAUUCUAAGAUUGCAUGGAUCAUGGAAUCGGCGGCCGUGCUCCUCUGCUUCAUGUUGCCUAUGCUGCUUUUGAUUAUGUUUCUUCAGAGUUCGUCAGUUGUUUUUGUAACUGACAUACAAGAGUGAUAAAAUAAAUUUGAUAAUUUAUGUAUUCGUAUUUAUAUAUUUUAUUUAAUAUAUAUAAAAUAU